UAGGGAAUCUUCGGCAAUGGGGGGAACCCUGACCGAGCAACGCCGCGUGAGUGAAGAAGGUUUUCGGAUCGUAAAGCUCUGUUGUUAAGGAAGAACGAGUGUGAGAAUGGAAAGUUCAUGCUGUGACGGUACUUAACCAGAAAGGACCGGCUAAUUCCGUGCCAGCAGCCGCGGUAAUACGGAAGGUUCGGGCGUUAUCCGGAUUUAUUGGGUUUAAAGGGAGCGUAGGCCGUUUGGUAAGCGUGUUGUGAAAUGUAGGAGCUCAACUUCUAGAUUGCAGCGCGAACUGUCAGACUUGAGUGCGCACAACGUAGGCGGAAUUCAUGGUGUAGCGGUGAAAUGCUUAGAUAUCAUGAAGAACUCCGAUUGCGAAGGCAGCUUACGGGAGCGCAACUGACGCUGAAGCUCGAAGGUGCGGGUAUCGAACAGG
rnacentral:rRNA from 1 species